rnacentral:rRNA from 1 species
UCAGGAUGAACGCUGGCGGCGUGCCUAAUACAUGCAAGUCGUACGAGGGAAGUCCAGCUUGCUGGACGGAACGAGUGGCGAACGGGUGAGUAAUACGUAAGCAACCUGCCUGCAAGGGACUGGGAUAACACCUGGAAACGGGCGCUAAUACCGGAUAGGUAACAAAGGGGCAGUCCCUAUGUUAUUAAAGGUUAGAAACACAAGCAGAUGGGCUUACGGUGCAUUAGCUAGUUGGUGAGGUAACGGCCCACCAAGGCGAUGAUGCAUAGCUGGCCUGAGAGGGUGAACGGCCACAUUGGGACUGAGACACGGCCCAGACUCCUACGGGAGGCAGCAGUAGGGAAUUUUCGGCAAUGGACGAAAGUCUGACCGAGCAACGCCGCGUUGAGUGAAGAAGGUUUUCGGAUUGUAAAAGCUCUGUUGUAAGGGAAGAACAGCACGGAAAGAAUCCGUGAAUGACGGUACCUUACCAGAAAGCCACGGCUAACUACGUGCCAGCAGCCGC